GAUUCCGCCGGAGGAGCGGCCGACAUGGUAUUAGCUAGUUGGCGGGGUAACGGCCCACCAAGGCUGUGAUGCCUAGGGAAUGUGAGAGCAUGAUGUUUUAAUUAACUUGGUAACGCAGCUAACGCGUGAAGUAGACCGCCUGGGGAGUACGGUCGCAAGAUUAAAACUCAAAGGAAUUGACGGGGACCCGCACAAGCGGUGGAUGAUGUGGAUUAAUUCGAUACAACGCGAAAAACCUUACCUACCCUUGACAUGGAAGGAAUCCCGGAGAGAUUUGGGAGUGCCCGAAAGGGAACCUUCACACAGGUGCUGCAUGGCUGUCGGAGCCAAUCCCAGAAAGCGCGGCUCAGUUCGGAUUGCAGGCUGCAACUCGCCUGCAUGAAGCUGGAAUCGCGGGUAGGGCUUCACACGUCAUACAAUGGUACAUACAGAGGGCCGCCAACCCGCGAGGGGGAGCUAAUCCCAGAAAGUGUAUCGUAGUCCGGAUUGUAGUCUGCAACUCGACUACAUGAAGUUGGAAUCGCUAGUAAUCGCGGAUCAGCAUGUCGCGGUGAUUUGGAUGAUGAUAGCCGUAGCUAGCUAGCUAAAGGGCAUCGGCAUCGAUCGAUCGAUGCAUACGUUCCCGUUGGCCGUAAAGUCGUCCCAAACCGUUGGCCAACCAGAUUUUGGUGUGAAGUGGUGACCCGAUGACCACACAGUGCCACGUGUUACAGUGCACAACGGUGCAAGUGCCCAGAU
rnacentral:rRNA from 1 species